GUGGCUGCAACGCAGCUGAAUAUAUUGUAUUCAAAUCACCUUCACAAUAAACGGCCGCCUUCUACUGAUUCUUGAUACAAAUCUUCUAAGCUUGGCAAUAACGAAGUUAAGGCAGGCCUUAGUUGUAGGCCCUAUCGUCGCUUUGAGGAAAGCCCAGAUCGUGGGGCCUAUUAUGCUUCAUUUCUAAUCCUUCUCAUAAUUAGGUUUUAAUUUGCUGGUACUUGUCAUGGCCAGAUUAUUAAACCCUGUCAAUAACUCCCUCAUGCAAAUGUCUCCGGUACCGUCAAAGUUGAAUCAAGUUACUCAUACUUCUCGCUCCUUCGGCCUUUUCUACGGAGAAGACCCUUUGAAUUUCAAGUUUAACCUCGUAUUGCUUGAUCUUUCUUUGAUCAUCUUAAUAAGUAAGAUGAUUCGCAUUCUUCUCAAGCCUCAAACAGCCAAGGGACGUCUGCGAAAUCAUGCCGGAACAAGGAGUUAACGAAGCAGCUGUUACUAGAUAAUGCCCGAUUUGUGGUGGCGAAUCUUAUUGGAGCUAUUGGUUUUGCACAUUUCUUAUCUUUGACUUCAGUGGAACGGUUUUCAGUGUAUUUAGAAAAGAAGGGAAGAAACAAGUCUUCACUGAUCUUUCUUCCCUUUAUAGUAGUGUGUAUAGGUGCACACUAUUUUCAAAUAUCAAUUCAUGGGAAGCUUGCAAAACCUGUUUUAUCUGGAGGGGUUGCCGCAAGUAUAUCUAUAACUGCAUUUCCUGUGAUUUAUCUUGUCCUUAAAGAGUGACAACUACUCGCCUCCGAGGUCGGACGAAUGGGGCAUUGACCCCAGCAUUGGUGAACGAUGUAACAGGGAUUAUUGUUAUUAUUGCAUUUGAAACCUUUAGACAAGGUCAAAGUAGUGCUAUCAGUGUUUUGUGGUUGGUGAUUUCGGUGAUAAUUCUAGUGGCCUAUGGGAUUGUUUUCACCCGGAGAGCACUGAUUUGGAUUGUUGAAAACACCCCAGAAGAGAAACCUGUAAAUCAAUCAUGAAGUUUCCAUUCAGUAAGAGUCUCACUCUCGGUCUCAUGAUGAACUUGAGAGUCACAUAUGAGCUUAUGGUAUUUAUAGAAUGGCUGAACAAAAGGGUAAUUCUCUAUGCUCAUGUUUUUUCUCUUCUACAUUCUCUUGAAAAUGUGCUUACUUUUUGGAAAUUGUGAAGGAAAAGAAUAAAAAGAAUUCAAGUUCGCUAGAUAUUGGUUGCUAGCAACUUGCUUUCUAUAUGAACCACUGGAUCUUAUAGAAUAAUGCAUCCAUUCAUUUUUGCAGUGUUUCAAAGCUAACAAGGGGAGUACACUGGUAGGCUUUGUUGAUUAGGAUGUGUGUUUUGGCCUCUUCAAGAUUAUAAAAAAGCUUUCAAGGUUGUAAAAAAGCUUUUGUUUUGUUUGGGUAGGAGUACAAAAUACAGGUUGUGAGGGGUAUGUUCCUUGUCUUGUUCGGGAAAGAAAUGGGAGAGAAACAAGAUCUGCAGCAACAUAACCAAUUCUUUUCAGGGCUUUUGGAGGAAUAAGAUCAACAAUGUCGUCUGGCCCCCUUUUUUUCUCUCUUUCCGGGACUAAUAAACCUGUCGGAAUUCUUGUCGACAAGGGUCACACUAAUGACUCUGCUGCUAUGCAAUAUUACAGUCGGCGCUUCGUUAACAAAUAUGUUGGCUUCUCAUGAGGUGCUUGCCUAUGCGGACAGGAUGGUCGCUAAUCGUGAAGUCUCUCUAACAGUAAUAAAGUUUCUUUCAUGUAAUAAUGUUGGAGAUAGUGUGAUGGAGUAGGCACUUGAUAAGUGGGUGGUGACAUCUUUUUGUGUGAAGAAUGUAAGAAACUGGAAUGUUGUUUAUGUAGAAAAUCUUAAUUAAUUGCAAUUUUUUAGGUUAAAUUUAA